AGCAGCCGCGGUAAUUCCAGCUCCAAUAGCGUAUAUUAAAGUUAGUUGCAGUUAAAAAGACUCGUAGUUGAACUUCGGAAUUUAUUUCAUUGGUCAGGCUUAACUGUCUGUACUGGUGUGUUGAAUUCCUACCUUCUGACGAAUCUCCAUGUCAUUCACUUGGUGUGGUGGGGAAUCAGGACUGUUACUUUGAAAAAUUAGAGUGUUUAAAGCAGGCUAACGUCUGAAUACAUUAGCAUGGAAUAAUAAAAUAGGACGGUUUGGUUCUAUUUGUUGGUUUCUAGGAUCACCGUAAUGAUUAAUAGGGAUAGUUGGGGGCAUUAGUAUUCAAUUGUCAGAGGUGAAAUUCUUGGAUUUAUUGAAGACUAGCUACUGCGAAAGCAUUUGCCAAGGAUGUUUUCAUUAAUCAA
rnacentral:rRNA from 1 species